UCCUGUUGCUAUCUUCCUGUCUCCUCUUGCAUCUGCUCCUUAAGGUGUGAACGCUCCCACGCUCACCUUCCCAUUCUCUCUUCAUGUCUCUCUCCCCCUCUCUCUCUCUCCCCCUCUGUCUCCUACCCCUCUCCCCCUAACUUGAGCCAACAUCUUGUGAUCUGUCUCUGGACGGACACCUCUCUAUCUUCCUCUCCUUUGAUUCUUCAGGAUCUCACCAGGACAUUUACAAUGGUUCAUGUUCUUUGUAGUAACAUAUGUCUAUGGCACAGGCGUUUGGUCAAACAUAUAUAAACCCCAUCUUUUGCUGUUAAUAAACAGAGACCUUUCUGACAGACAACGUGUGUGUGUGUGUUUGACUGAGUCUCUCCUGGCGCCAGAAAAGCUUACCGAAGCACAGCGGACAGACCGAGCAACUCGCCUCUCCUACUACGUAACUUUAGAAAAACUUUACAAUCUGGGGGCUCGUCUAACCUUUUCUCUCCAGGAAGACAAGCCUACUCAUUCUUUCAUCCCAGGUGAUACAGUGCUGGUGAAAAGUUUGAAUCCCAGGAAGGUGGGGGACGCUGCCUACAGUACACCUACAACUGUAAUUGCAGUGACUCGCACAGCUGUUCUCACAGAUUCACAGCCACAGUGGAUUCACGCCAGCCGUGUGAAGAAGGCACCGCAGACGACUCUGACUGCUUGAGAUAAUCGACCACUACUUCACAAGAUCUCCUAGCCCGCACCGAGGGGCUAGUGGAGCGACACACGUCCUGAAGACACCUCAAAAGGGGGCUCUCGUCGCUUCUCACCUUUUUCACAUACACAUAUAGGUUCAACUUUGUAUUAGCUCUUUUUCCACAUUUUAUUUUAUUUUGUGCCAACGCCUGAUGACCUAUGUACUGUUAAUUUCAUUUCUAAUUGUGAUUCUAGAAGUGAUUUAAUCCUGAUCUUCUCUAUAACUGUUCUAUCUAUUCUAUCUAUUCUCUUUAUUAUCCUUCUUAUCAUCUUUGCUGACUUUACUAAUUAUGAAUCUCUGCUUCUUCACGUUAAUAUCUCUUGCUAUGUUAACUAAUUGACAUUCAAAAAUUCUUUUAGAAUUUAAGGGGGCAACUGUUAGAAUUAUUUUAUAUAUAAAGGAUUUAUUUCUACUCUCUUGCUCUCUUUCUCAUAGAUCUGAUAUUAACAUGUUAAAUCUUUCCUGUUGCUAUCUUCCUGUCUCCUCUUGCAUCUGCUCCUUAAGGUGUGAACGCUCCCACGCUCACCUUCCCAUUCUCUCUUCAUGUCUCUCUCCCCCUCUCUCUCUCUCCCCCUCUGUCUCCUACCCCUCUCCCCCUAACUUGAGCCAACAUCUUGUGAUCUGUCUCUGGACGGACACCUCUCUAUCUUCCUCUCCUUUGAUUCUUCAGGAUCUCACCAGGACAUUUACAAUGGUUCAUGUUCUUUGUAGUAACAUAUGUCUAUGGCACAGGCGUUUGGUCAAACAUAUAUAAACCCCAUCUUUUGCUGUUAAUAAACAGAGACCUUUCU